UUAAGGGUUUCGAAAAUUGAAGGAUCUUGGGAUAGACCAAAGCGCCGCUUACACAUGAAAUUACUAAUUUGCGUUGGCACUUUGCUUGAUGCGUGGGGUACUGAUGGGGAGACUGUGCAAAUCAAAUUUCCAUGGUGGACGAAAAUGUAGAAAGUGAAUAAAGUACUGAAAGUGCAGUGUGUGAUGUGAGUGCAGAAAGUGAUGGAAGCGAUUGUCCGCUGGAGUGAUCACAACAUGUGUGUUCAUUUGUUACCUUCCAUAUAUAGUUCUUUUCAAUAAGGUUUGCAAUAAUUAUGGUUUGUAAUAAGGGUAUAAACCCCCUUGAGUUUACCUGUAUAAUAAAUAAUAAGAAUCGUGGAGCAGACUCCCAUUCUUCUUGAUUUUUAACUCUUUGUUUCA